rnacentral:rRNA from 1 species
GAUGAACGCUAGCUACAGGCUUAACACAUGCGAGUCGAGGGGAAACGAUGAGAGAGCUUGCUCUCUUAGUCGUCGACCGGCGCACGGGUGAGUAACGCGUAUCCAACCUGCCUCUGACCAAGGGAUAACCCGUCGAAAGUCGGACUAAUACCUUAUGCAGUCGUCGGAAGUCAUCUGAUGACGACGAAAGAUUUCAUCGGUGAGAGAUGGGGAUGCGUCUGAUUAGCUUGUUGGCGGGGUAACGGCCCACCAAGGCGACGAUCAGUAGGGGUUCUGAGAGGAAGGUCCCCCACAUUGGAACUGAGACACGGUCCAAACUCCUACGGGAGGCAGCAGUGAGGAAUAUUGGUCAAUGGGCGUAAGCCUGAACCAGCCAAGUAGCGUGCAGGAUGACGGCCCUAUGGGUUGUAAACUGCUUUUAUGCGGGGAGAAAGUGAGGGACGUGUCCUUCAUUGCAGGUACCGCAUGAAUAAGGACCGGCUAAUUCCGUG